CCCUCCCCCUUCGCCUUUAUCAUCACCAACCACCCAGACAAAAUUCAAGAAAAGAUGACAAUACUCAAAUAUUUAAGACCAUUCAACAAAAUAGACAAUAAACCAAAAACCAAAUAAACAUCUGUAUAAAUGACAACACCCUAAGCCCAUCAAACACUUCUCUCCCCAGCACAAAGCUUCUUAGGAGCCCUUAAGAAAGUCAGGCACUUUCCCCC